rnacentral:rRNA from 1 species
GGCGUAGACGGUUUCUUAAGUCGGAUGUGAAAUCUCCUGACUCAAUUAGGAGAGGUCAUUCGAUACUAGGAGACUUGAGGGUAGCAGAAGAAAGCGGAACUCCAGGUGUAGCGGUGAUAUGCGUAGAUAUCUGGAGGAACACCAGUGGCGAAGGCGGCUUUCUAGGCUAUUCCUGACGUUGAGGCCCAAAAGCGUGGGGAGCGAAAC